CCUACGGGUGGCAGCAGUGAGGAAUAUUGGUCAAUGGACGCAAGUCUGAACCAGCCAUGCCGCGUGCAGGCAGACGGCUCUAUGAGUUGUAAACUUCUUUUGUACUAGGGUAAACGCAGAUACGCGUAUCUGUCUGAAAGUAUCGUACGAAUAAGGAUCGGCUAACUCCGUGCCAGCAGCCGCGGUAAUACGGAGGAUUCAAGCGUUAUCCGGAUUUAUUGGGUUUAAAGGGUGCGUAGGUGGUCGGGUAAGUUAGUGGUGAAAUCCCGAGGCUCAAAUUCAGAAUUGCCUUUGAUACUGUCAGGCGAGAGAGUAGUUGAGGUAGGCGGAAUGUAUGGUGUAGCGGUGAAAUGCUUAGAGAUCACACAGAACACCGAUUGCGAAGGCAGCUUACCAGGCUACUUCUGACGUUGAGGCACGAAAGCGUGGGGAGCAAACAGGAUUAGAUACCCGAGUAGUC
rnacentral:rRNA from 1 species